GCCAGAAGUGCUAAGGGGUUAAUGCCUCCAGGAAUGGUGCUCAGCCAAUGAUGGGUGGAGUUGGAGGACCAGCAGCAGUUUGCCUUCUGGUACGGGUCCACAAAACUUGCUGUUUGAGCAGUGCUGAGCCAGAGCAUUCUGGGAAGGAGAUGGGGUUGGCAGUGUCAAAUGCUGCCAAGGCGGAGUAACCACCCACCGUGUCGUAAGGCAACCCUGCAAAGAGGCCCAUGUGCGUGAGCC